CGGCACACUCGCUCUAUCGCUGCCUGUGCAAACAGGGGGAGGAAAGUCCGAGCAACAUAGAGCACCGUUCAGGUUAACGGCCUGAUGUCCGUGAGGGCAUAGUAGCGUAACAGAAAAUAACCGCCCCAUACGGAGUUUCGACCUUGGAGGUUCGGGGCUCGGGGUAAGGGUGAAAAGGCGGGGUAAGAGCCCACCGCGAAGGUAGCAAUACGCUUCGGCAGUACGUCUAACGGGUUGCAAGACCAUGUAUACCGAUAAUUAAGGAUUGCUCGUCCGCUGUCGGGGGGUAGGUCGCUAGAGACUGUGGGAGACUGCAGUAGUAGAUAAAUGAUAGAGGCUUCGUCCGCAAGGGUGGAGAACAGAACUCGGCUUAUAGAGUGUGCAUAAAA
rnacentral:RNase_P_RNA from 1 species